rnacentral:rRNA from 1 species
GACGAACGCUGGCGGCGUGCUUAACACAUGCAAGUCGAACGGAAAGGCCCUGCUUUUGUGGGGUGCUCGAGUGGCGAACGGGUGAGUAACACGUGAGUAACCUGCCCUUGACUUUGGGAUAACUUCAGGAAACUGGGGCUAAUACCGGAUAGGAUCUCCUGCUGCAUGGUGGGGGUUGGAAAGUUUCGGCGGUUGGGGAUGGACUCGCGGCUUAUCAGCUUGUUGGUGGGGUAGUGGCUUACCAAGGCUUUGACGGGUAGCCGGCCUGAGAGGGUGACCGGCCACAUUGGGACUGAGAGACGGACCAGACUGCUACGGGAGGCAGCAGUGGGGAAUAUGGCACAAUGGGCGGAAGCCGGAUGCAGCAACGCCGCGUGCGGGAUGACGGCCUUCGGGUUGUAAACCGCUUUCGCCUGUGACGAAGCGUGAGUGACGGUAAUGGGUAAAGAAGCACCGGCUAACUACGUG